rnacentral:rRNA from 1 species
AGACAGCAGCAGCCGCGGUAAUACGGAGGGGGCUAGCGUCGUUCGGAAUUACUGGGCGUAAAGCGCACGUAGGCGGCUUGGUAAGUUAGAGGUGAAAGCCUGGAGCUCAACUCCAGAAUUGCCUUUAAGACUGCAUCGCUUGAAUCGCGGAGAGGUGAGUGGAAUUCCGAGUGUAGAGGUGAAAUUCGUAGAUAUUCGGAAGAACACCAGUGGCGAAGGCGGCUCACUGGACGCGUAUUGACGCUGAGGUGCGAAAGCGUGGGGAGCAAACAGGAUUAGAGACCCCCGUAGUCCCUGUCUCUUAUAA